rnacentral:tRNA from 1 species
AAAGAGACAGCUAAUUGAAGUGUUAAGUUGUAAUCUUAAUUAUGGGUCGUCCCUCUCUUUA